rnacentral:tRNA from 1 species
GGAGAAGUGGUCUAGUGGUAGGGCCCAGGCACUUCGAAUGCAUGUCCUGGAUGUCAGUUCGAGUCUGACCUUCUCCA